GGUGGGGUGGCCGAGGUAGGCGGCAAGUUGUAGCCUUGUUCACGGGGCAGUGACCCCCCCCAUCA
rnacentral:tRNA from 1 species